AAGAUCAUACCUUCUGGGAUCAUUUCUAUAGUCUUUGACUUGAGAAACAUCGUACGAAAGUGAUCGGUUACUCUAACCACGAUGAAGAGAACUGAUGUUCCCUUCUGAGCGCGAAGCGGGCAGUGAGUGAUGAUGCAUUUCAUCCGCUCACUGUCAUUGAUGACCGUUCCAUGCUCUCUAGUGGAGCCUGGAGGUAGGGAACAUGAUCAGAGUGGU
rnacentral:snoRNA from 1 species